rnacentral:rRNA from 1 species
AUUGAACGCUGGCGGCAGGCCUAACACAUGCAAGUCGAACGAGUGGCGGACGGGUGAGUAAUGUCUGGGAAACUGCCUGAUGGAGGGGGAUAACUACUGGAAACGGUAGCUAAUACCGCAUACCAUCAGAUGUGCCCAGAUGGGAGUUGCUAGUUGGUGGGGUAACGGCUCACAAAGGCGACGAUCCCUAGCUGGUCUGAGAGGAUGACCAGCCAAACUGGAACUGAGACACGGUCCAGACUCCUACGGGAGCAAGCAGUGGGGAAUAUUGCACAAGGGGAGCAAGCCUGAUGCAGCCAUGCCGCGUGUAUGAAGAAGGCCUUCGGGUUGUAAAGUACUUUCAGCGGGGAGGCGUUACCCGCAGAAGAAGCACCGGCUAACUCCGUGCCAGCAGCCGCGGUAAUAC